GAUGAACGCCGGCGGCGUGCCUAAUACAUGCAAGUCGAGCGAACGGACGAGAAGCUUGCUUCUCUGAUGUUAGCGGCGGACGGGUGAGUAACACGUGGAUAACCUACCUAUAAGACUGGGAUAACUUCGGGAAACCGGAGCUAAUACCGGAUAAUAUUUUGAACCGCAUGGUUCAAAAGUGAAAGACGGUCUUGCUGUCACUUAUAGAUGGAUCCGCGCUGCAUUAGCUAGUUGGUAAGGUAACGGCUUACCAAGGCAACGAUGCAUAGCCGACCUGAGAGGACGAUCGGCCACACUGGAACUGAGACACGGUCCAGACUCCUACGGGAGGCAGCAGUAGGGAAUCUUCCGCAAUGGGCGAAAGCCUGACGGAGCAACGCCGCGUGAGGGAUGAAGGUCUUCGGAUCGUAAAACGCUGUUAUUAGGGAAGAACAUAUGUGUAAGUAACUGUGCACAUCUUGACGGUACCUAAUCAGAAAGCCACGGCUAACUACGUG
rnacentral:rRNA from 1 species